AACCCGAAUCUGCACCGUGACGCCGCCUCGCCACAUUAAGGUCGAUUUCACCUCCUUUGAACCCGUCCGCGAGGGUCGGGUGGGGGGGGGUCGGCGCCCCUGUGGGUGAAUCCUCGUGACUUUAAUGGGGUCUGUUCUUUGUAGCUGUUUUUGGAGCAGAAAAUGCGGUACGUUUCGAUGUGGUGCGUCUUUUCAUUGGUGCCCAGCGGCCUCCCAAGUUGGUGGCGUUGAGUGUUAGCGUGCGGCUCCGAGCGAGCGCCGCGUUUAUCGCAACGGAACACGAGCCACCGCGCACAUGUCGAUAUCGAAGCGUAACACAAGUUGUGUCAACCGGGAGGACGGAAGAAAAAAACGCCUCCACAACCAAUGAAACCACAUUUCAAUUCAUUUGAAGGUCUUAGCAGCAAUGAGCUCAGCUCCCUGCAGCCCGGAGAGGAAGCUUCUGGGAACACAAGGACACCAACGUUACGCUCAUCGGUUUAUCGACGGAACGCAGGCCCUCAAAAGACACGGCACGCAUCAACAGAACAGCCCCCCCACCCCCCGAACCCCCCCCCGAUCAAAAUGCAUCGAGCUGACUACAAAGGAGUGUGUGCCGGGAGGAACGCACCUUUUCUCCAGAGUCGACCUCUGAGAUUUAAUCAGAGCGCAGAUAAUCCAUGUGGUCUUGUAAGUACACGAGCUUCUGAUCCUGGAGGAGAGGAGGUGUCAGCUGACGUGGGUCUGAUCAGCAGUCAAGCGCCGGCGUCUCUGAGCGGACGGGGACGAGGAGCUGGAGGUCACAGAGCGACUCGAUGCCAUCGGGACCAAACGGGAGGGAGAGCAGCGCAGGACGGAGAGUCGGCCAUCCCACUUCUCAGAAAGUGAGAAGAAGUCCAGGGGAGAGACGCUGACUCUGAUGCUUCCAUCCAUCGUCACGUGGAAAGAUUAUUCCCACCUUGUUGUUAUUUACACAAUAUUAUGAACAAUUUCAGUCAACACAAUCUUCUCAAACAUUAAACGAAAGCAAAGCUCAAUUUUUCCUUGUUUCUAAAAAAAUACUUUUACGUUCGUUUGGUUUUUGACGCUUUUAACGUUUGUAUCAGACACAUGAGACGUUUUUCUGGUUGAUUAAUCUGCAGCUCGGCAGUGAGUUAUUAAAGUGUAUACAACAAAUAACAACACAAUAAAAACACAAUUCGUGUAUUUG
ensembl:lncRNA